rnacentral:rRNA from 1 species
GACGAACGCUGGCGGCGUGCUUAACACAUGCAAGUCGAACGGAAAGGCCCUGCUUUUGUGGGGUGCUCGAGUGGCGAAAGGGUGAGUAACAAGUGAGCAACCUGCCCUUGACUUUGGGAUAACUUCAGGAAACUGGGGCUAAUACCGGAUAGGAGCUCCUGCUGCAUGGUGGGGGUUGGAAAGUUUCGGCGGUUGGGGAUGGACUCGCGGCUUAUCAGCUUGUUGGUGGGGUAGUGGCUUACCAAGGCUUUGACGGGUAGCCGGCCUGAGAGGGUGACCGGCCACAUUGGGACUGAGAUACGGCCGAGACUCCUACGGGAGGCAGCAGUGGGGAAUAUUGCACAAUGGGCGGAAGCCUGAUGCAGCAACGCCGCGUGCGGGAUGACGGCCUUCGGGUUGUAAACCGCUUUCGCCUGUGACGAAGCGUGAGUGACGGUAAUGGGUAAAGAAGCACCGGCUAACUACGUG